ensembl:lncRNA
GUAGUAAAUGUUGCCAAAAAGGCAGAACCACAGACUGACUGACAUCAAAAGGGACCUCUCUGAACUAUGGGGGGUAUAAGAAAGAGGGGGACAGGCUUUUCAGCAGAGUCUGCUGUGACAGGACAAGGGGAAAUGAUUUCAAACUAAAAGAGGGGAGGCUUAACUGGAUAUAAAGAAAAAGUUUUUUAUGAUAAGUGUGGUGAGGCACUAGAUUGAACAAUAUACCCAGAGAAGUGGUGGAAGCCCCAUCCUUAGAGACAUUCAAGGUCAGGCUGGUCAGGGCUCUGAGCAACCUGAUCUAGUUGUAAGUGUUGCUGUUCAUUGCAGGGAAGUUGGACUAGGUGACCCUCAAAGGUCUCUUCCAACCCCAGUGAUUCCAUGAUUCUAUGAUCCGAUCACUUCCCUUUUUUCCUUCCAGCAUAAACACUAAUUUACAGUAUUCCAUACUAACAUUGCAAAGGUGUUUUUUUUUUUUUUUUUUUCCUCUCUGUAUGUGAUCUCUUAUUUUUGUGCAUGUGUUAGCUCUCAUGAUUGGAAAAAUGUACUGCUUCUAGCACAGAAUUUUCAGCCUAUAAUUUUAGUUUGGAUUUCACUGCACUGAUUUCAGUGCAGUUGUUCCUGAGUUACAUAUGAAGAACAGAAAGACAGUAGCAGAGGAACACUGAUAAAAUGGUGCCUGACAUGAAGCAGAAGUAUGCAAUUAUUUCCUCCACGUGGAAAAAAAGCUGCAUCCACAUACAGUGAUGCUUGCUGAACGCAUAUGAAGACCGAACAGUGGAUGUGAGCACUGUGAGGCGGUGGGUGGUGCAUUUCAGCAACGGUGACAAUGAUGUGAAAGACAAGCCAUAUUCUGGACAUCCUUGCACAGCUGUCACACUAUGAAAUGGAGAGCAUCUUGAUCAGCUCAUCUGGGUGGUUUACUUCAGAUUGGUGAGGUGCUGAUUUUAUUUAUGUAAAUGGAAGAUGUUAUAACUCGGAAAUUGAAAGCUCAGUGAGGUAAAGUAGAAAACAAUUCUGAGUCUAUUGCUCAUGGACUUGAUCUUCAUCAUUUGGUAUAAAUGGAUGGCAAGAGAUGCAGAAUUCUCAACUCUGAACUAUUGAUCCUCUAUAGCUAUUUGUUCAGGCUCUAAAUCCCAUCUGGCUGAAAAUGCAGCUUAGGUUUUCUAUGAGCCAUAAAUUAUAAACGUUAUGCUUGUGCUCUCUGGAACACUCUCAGACUUGAUAUACUCAGGGAAUUUCUUGUUAGGACUUGAGACUAGCCAUUAUCCAAAAAAGUGUAGUAGUUAUCUUCACAUAUUUAUGAACAUUAUUCAGAAACAUACACUGUCAAAAUAUUUCUGUCAGCGUGAACAAAUGCUUGUUCUUCAUUGUUACACCACUUUCAUCUAAAAUUCUUCACAAUGCAAAAUCAUUCAGAGAAGAAACUGAGGAAAAUUCAGUAAGAGUUUUACUCAGAGGUUUUUAUGCAAUACGAAUGGUAAUGUUUACUCAACAGUGAUUGUCCCA